rnacentral:rRNA from 1 species
AGUGAACGCUGGCGGCGUGCCUAAUACAUGCAAGUCGAACGGAGUGGCGCACGGGUGCGUAAUGUAUAGCUAAUCUACCCUACACUAGAGGACAACAGUUGGAAACGGCUGCUAAUACUCUCUAUGGUAGGAUGAGGCUAUAUUGUAUCAGCUCGUUGGUGAGGUAAUGGCUGACCAAGGCUAUGACGCAUAACUGGUCUGAGAGGAUGAUCAGUAACACGGGAACUGAGACACGGUCCAGACUCCUACGGGAGGCAGCAGGAGGGAAUAGUGCUCAAUGGGGGAAACCCUGAAGCAGCAACGCGGCGUGGAGGAUGACACUUUUCGGAGAGUAAACUCCUUUUGUUAGGGAAGCGGUACCUAACGAAUAAGCACCGGCUAACUCCGUGCCAGCAGCCGCGGUAAUAC